rnacentral:piRNA from 1 species
GUUUGAGUGUAACGAGUGCGGGAAAGCCUUUA